rnacentral:tRNA from 1 species
GCCCCUGUGGCGCAAUGGUAGCGCAGCCGAUUUGUAAUUGGCAGGUUUGGGGUUCGAGUCCCCACGGGGGCUCCG